CCCAAAGAAGUGUUGGACCUUCACUUUAUCCCAUCUCCACUCCUAUGGAUUGAAGAGAUUGCACAUCCUAAGGCCCGAGCUCUCCACAUCAACCAAUGUGGGCCAUAGUUGAUAGAAAGAUCAGACACCCACAUAUCAUUCAACACAUCUAUCGACUGGCCAUCACCGACUACCCACCGAAUCUGAGUCGUCACCUCUAGAGCAUGAGAGCACAUCUCCUGCCAAAUAAAGGAGCUGCACCGGUUAGCCUGGAAGUCUGGCGCCAUGGCCUGGUCACCGUACUUAGCCUUCAUUAACGAGCUCCAUAGGCUAUCCAGCUCAAGCAAGAACCAAGCGACAUGUCUGGCCGCCAUAGCCUCCCUCCUUAUCAGCAAAGAAUAGAUCCCAGACCCCCAUAGCCUCGGGGCUGAUAUACCACCUC
rnacentral:lncRNA from 1 species